UCCGGGGUAGCUCAACUGGCAGAGCGGCUGGCUGUUAACCAGUAGGUUGCGGGUUCGAGUCCCGCCCCCGGAG
rnacentral:tRNA from 1 species